rnacentral:lncRNA from 13 species
UUCAUCCAUUUUGAAUUCAGGCUGUAUCACAGCAAAUUGUGGAUUAAGUUAAACGGUGUGAAUACUUUCUGUAGGCACUGUAGGUUGACCUCUCACCUCUACCCAUCACUCCACUCCAAUACUGCUCAAGGCCAAUAACAACAANNNNNNNNNNAAUGUAAAAGUUUUAAAAAAUUGUAAGUUGAAGUUUCUACUGAGGGAAAGUUGAUACCUUUUGGUCAGGUUUUGGUGAGUUCCAGUUUAACACCGCUGAUUGGCAAUCUCUAGCUCUCACUUCACAACCUAGCUAGGUAGAGAAAGAAAGAAUGAGGGAGAGAGGAUGUAUAGAGAGAGAAUGAGGGAGAGAGGAUGUAUAGAGAGAGAAUGAGGGAGAGAGGAUGGAUAGAGAGAAUGAGGGAGAGAGGAUGGAUCGAGAGAUAAUGAGGGAGAGAGGAUGGAUAGAGAGAGAAUGAGGGAGAGAGGAUGGAUAGACAGUGAAAGAAUAAGGGGGAGAGGAUGGAUAGACAGUGAAAGAAUGAGGGGGAGAGGAUGGAUAGACAGUGAAAGGGGGAGAGAGGAUGGAUAGACAGUGAAAGGGGGAGAGAGGAUGGAUAGAGAGAGAAUGAGGGAGUGAGGAUGGAUAGACAGUGAAAGAAUGAGGGGGAGAGGAUGGAUAGACAGUGCAAGGGGGAGAGAGGAUGGAUAGAGAGAAUGAGGGAGAGAGGAUGGAUAGACUGAAAGAAUGAGGGGGAGAGGAUGGAUAGACAGUGAAAGAAUGAGGGGGAGAGGAUGGAUAGACAGUGAAAGGGGGGUGAGAGGAUGAUUGCACUUGUCUGGCAGGAAGUAUGUUGUCAUGACAGUGAACCAUGUACAAUUGUUUGUUCUUCCGGCUUUGAGACCUUGUUGCCCUCGAGUACACUAACACACUCUGAUG